rnacentral:misc_RNA from 1 species
UCCCCCGUUGUACUGCGGCCGACUACCGGCGCCGUGUCCCGUCCCUYGUGUGGCUUYGAAUCGCUGGAUUAAAGUGCUUGCGUGCUAGUACCCGACCUACGGGAAGUGGUGCUUCGGAUAAUUNUUGCCUCGCGGCGGACGCCCAUUGGGUGUGCCGCUGCGGCCAAAUAGCGCUUGCGGCGUUGCCUCGUGGGGCUGGCACAUUACGUGCCCGUUGCUAUCAAGGCAACCUCGCUCCCGCUUUUGGUCUCGGAUGCUGCUGACGAUAAAGGGUCGUGGCCCUUUCGGUUGCCUCGACCCGACCCAAAGCUCUCGGAAYUGAGAACAACCGGAACAGGAGUUGCCUCUACCUCUCCACAGUUAUGUGGUAGGAUACGCAACUCUCUGCGCCGAUCCUCAAGGAUGAUGAGCUGUGCCGCUCAAGAGCGACGACCGGCCCGGCUGUUGCCUCUGAGUUUCCACGRAAGUGGAAGCGCAGAACGAUGGCCGUGCUGGUAGUCACCAAGGACGUGCU